CGCGCGCUGCCUCUCCGGACCGGUCUCCGCGGGCCCCGGCUUUGGCCUCACCGCUUCCGCAAGAAGCCACAGUUCCGAGGCGUUUCCCUGAAGAACUUCCCCGGGAAAAGGCAACGGCCUAGGCCGCGGGGGCCAGCGGGGGAUGCAGUUCUGAGAGCGCUAAGCCGGCCGCCGCAGUCAAACCUCCCGCCGCCGCGGACUACAACUCCCAGAGGGCUCUGCGACAGCCAACACGCCUCCCGCCGCAGAGCCCAGCCCUCCGGCUUCGGAAGAAAGGGCGGCGCAGUCUUUUCACAGUGCACCCUUGGGGGACAAAGACCUUAAGCAUCACAACUUGCAACCUGGAGAUUUCAUCUAUCGGAAAAGAUACAUCCAGAAGAACUCUCUUCAACCUUGCUGGAAAGUACUCUAUCAAGUACUCCAAACAACCCUUGUGCUUCCAGACUCCAAGGAAUAGACUCUUGGAUUCAUGAGACACACCUAAAGAAAGCAUCGAACCUUAACUGAAACUGCACAUCAUCUGGUGAGCUGAAAGUAAAGAUUUUCCAGAAUUGAAGCAGAUGACAUCUGAUAAGACAGCUUUCCCAGGAUAUCUGGACCAGGUCUGUUGGAAGUUUGUCACCAAGCCUUUGAUGAUGGCAUAAUGCCUCAGGAGAUCUCUGAUGUCUAUGAUUUUGAUAACAGGACUUUAGAUAAAAAGUGCCUGAGAGUCCUCCUUCCUCCUCCUUGUUACUCAAAUGUGACCUUAAUAGGCUUCCAAUCUGUGCACUUUCCCUCUGAUGUGAGACACUAUACCCAGGAAUGGUCCUUCUUGACAUUGAGGGACAAAAAGCCAUUGAAACUAAAAACCCUGACUCUUGAUAGCAGUGCUUUCAGAGAAAAAUCCUGAUCAAAAGGGGAAAAUGUAAAAAAUUAAUAAACAGAAACCUCAAUUAAAUAGAGUUGGGAGACCAGAAGGGGGAGC